CCUACGGGGGGCAGCAGUGAGGAAUAUUGGUCAAUGGGCGGAAGCCUGAACCAGCCAAGUCGCGUGAGGGAUUAAGGCCCUGCGGGUCGUAAACCUCUUUUGCCGGGGAGCAGUGGUCCGGACGCGUCCGGACCGGGAGAGUACCCGGAGAAAAAGCAUCGGCUAACUCCGUGCCAGCAGCCGCGGUAAUACGGAGGAUCCGAGCGUUAUCCGGAUUCAUUGGGUUUAAAGGGUGCGUAGGUUGUUUUAUAAGUUAGCGGUGAAAUACCGAUGCUCAACAUCGGGGCUGCCGCUAAUACUGUAGG
rnacentral:rRNA from 1 species